rnacentral:rRNA from 1 species
AUGCAUAGGAAUCUACCUAGUAGUAUGGGAUAGCCACUAGAAAUGGUGGGUAAUACUGUAUAAUCCCUGCGGGGGAAAGAUUUAUCGCUAUUAGAUGAGCCUAUGUUAGAUUAGCUAGUUGGUAGGGUAAAGGCCUACCAAGGCAGUGAUCUAUAGCUGGUCUGAGAGGAUGAUCAGCCACACUGGAACUGAGAUACGGUCCAGACUCCUACGGGAGGCAGCAGUGGGGAAUAUUGGACAAUGGGCGCAAGCCUGAUCCAGCUAUGCCGCGUGAGUGAGGAAGGCCUUAGGGUUGUAAAACUCUUUCAGUGGGGAAGAUAAUGACGGUACCCACAGAAGAAGUCCCGGCAAACUCCGUGCCAGCAGCCGCGGUAAUACGGAGGGGGCAAGCGUUGUUCGGAAUUAUUGGGCGUAAAGGGCAUGUAGGCGGUUCGGUAAGUUAAAGGUGAAAUGCCA